AGUGAACGCUGGCGGUAGGCCUAACACAUGCAAGUCGAACGGCAGCACAGGAGAGCUUGCUCUCUGGGUGGCGAGUGGCGGACGGGUGAGGAAUACAUCGGAAUCUACUUUUUCGUGGGGGAUAACGUAGGGAAACUUACGCUAAUACCGCAUACGACCUACGGGUGAAAGCAGGGGACCUUCGGGCCUUGCGCGAUUGAAUGAGCCGAUGUCGGAUUAGCUAGUUGGCGGGGUAAAGGCCCACCAAGGCGACGAUCCGUAGCUGGUCUGAGAGGAUGAUCUGCCACACUGGAACUGAGACACGGUCCAGACUCCUACGGGAGGCAGCAGUGGGGAAUAUCGGACAAUGGGUGCAAGCCUGAUCCAGCCAUACCGCGUGGGUGAAGAAGGCCUUCGGGUUGUAAAGCCCUUUUGUUGGGAAAGAAAUCCAGCUGGCUAAUACCCGGUUGGGAUGACGGUACCCAAAGAAUAAGCACCGGCUAACUUCGUGCCAGCCGCCGCAGUAA
rnacentral:rRNA from 1 species